UACGUAGGGGGCGAGCGUUGUCCGGAAUUACUGGGCGUAAAGCGCAUGUAGGCGGGCGACUAAGUCAGGGGUGAAAACCGUGGGCUCAACCUACGGCUUGCCCUUGAUACUGGUCGUCUUGAGUACAGGAGAGGGAAGCGGAAUUCCCGGUGUAGCGGUGAAAUGCGUAGAUAUAUGGAGGAACACCGGUGGCGAAAGCGGCUCUCUGGACUGUAACUGACACUGAGGCUCGAAAGCGUGGGUAGCAAACAGG
rnacentral:rRNA from 1 species